GAUGAACGCUGGCGGCGUGCCUAAUACAUGCAAGUCGAGCGAACAGACGAGGAGCUUGCUCCUCUGACGUUAGCGGCGGACGGGUGAGUAACACGUGGAUAACCUACCUAUAAGACUGGGAUAACUUCGGGAAACCGGAGCUAAUACCGGAUAAUAUAUUGAACCGCAUGGUUCAAUAGUGAAAGACGGUUUUGCUGUCACUUAUAGAUGGAUCCGCGCCGCAUUAGCUAGUUGGUAAGGUAACGGCUUACCAAGGUGACGAUGCGUAGCCGACCUGAGAGGGUGAUCGGCCACACUGGAACUGAGACACGGUCCAGACUCCUACGGGAGGCAGCAGUAGGGAAUCUUCCGCAAUGGGCGAAAGCCCGACGGAGCAACGCCGCGUGAGUGAUGAAGGUCUUCGGAUCGUAAAACUCUGUUAUUAGGGAAGAACAAAUGUGUAAGUAACUAUGCACGUCUUGACGGUACCUAAUCAGAAAGCCACGGCUAACUACGUG
rnacentral:rRNA from 1 species